GUUUUACAUUUUCUUUCCCAGUUAGACAAACAUCUAUUGCCUCGGGGACACUUAUAAAGUGGACAAAGGGAUUCAACAUCGAGGACACAGUUGGGCAAGAUGUGGUAGGAGAAUUAACAAAGGCCAUGGAAAAGAUUGGAUUGGAUAUGCGUGUGGCGGCUUUGGUAAAUGAUACAAUAGGCACAUUAGCUGGAGGCAGAUACCACAAUGAUAAUGUUAUUGCUGCCGUGAUUCUGGGAACUGGAACAAAUGCUGCAUAUGUGGAGCGGGC
rnacentral:misc_RNA from 1 species